AGAGCUGUAGCUCAGUGGGAGAGCGUCUGGCUUGCACACAGAAGGUCCCGGGUUCAAUUUCCCUCAUUUCCA